rnacentral:rRNA from 1 species
AAAGGGUCCGUAGGCGGACUCGUAAGUCAGUGGUGAAAUCUCAUAGCUUAACUAUGAAACUGCCAUUGAUACUGCGGGUCUUGAGUAAAGUAGAAGUGGCUGGAAUAAGUAGUGUAGCGGUGAAAUGCAUAGAUAUUACUUAGAACACCAAUUGCGAAGGCAGGUCACUAUGUUUUAACUGACGCUGAUGGACGAAAGCGUGGGGAGCGAACAGGAUUAGAUACCCCUGU